CCUACGGGAGGCAGCAGUGAGGAAUAUUGGUCAAUGGGCGCGAGCCUGAACCAGCCAAGCAGCGUGAAGGAUGACUGCCCUACGGGUUGUAAACUUCUUUUAUAAAGGAAUAAAGUGAGGCACGUGUGCCUUUUUGUAUGUACUUUAUGAAUAAGGAUCGGCUAACUCCGUGCCAGCAGCCGCGGUAAUACGGAGGAUCCGAGCGUUAUCCGGAUUUAUUGGGUUUAAAGGGAGCGUAGAUGGGUUGUUAAGUCAGUGGUGAAAGUUUGCGGCUCAACCGUAAAAUUGCAAUUGAUACUGGCAGCCUUGAGUACAGUUGAGGUAGGCGGAAUUCGUGGUGUAGCGGUGAAAUGCUUAGAGAUCACGAAGAACUCCGAUUGCGAAGGCAGCUUACUAAACUGUGACUGACAUUGAGGCUCGAAAGUGUGGGUAUCAAACAGGAUUAGAUACCCGGGUAGUC
rnacentral:rRNA from 1 species